UGCGGAAGGAUCAUUACCGAAAGCGGGUUCGUUCAAACCCCCCCGCUCUACAAAUUGUCUGACACUCGCCCCCAGGAGAUGUGGGGGCGUUUGUUUACCCCGAGAAAGGAUUCGUUUAUGCGAAGUUGGGCGAGGGGCGCCUCGCCGAGGGUGAAAGCUCUCGAACCAAAGCGCACCCCACACACUUAAACCCCAUCAA
rnacentral:misc_RNA from 1 species